GACGAACGCUGGCGGCGUGCCUAAUACAUGCAAGUCGAGCGCUGAAGGUUGGUACUUGUACCAACUGGAUGAGCAGCGAACGGGUGAGUAACGCGUGGGGAAUCUGCCUUUGAGCGGGGGACAACAUUGGGAAACGAAUGCUAAUACCGCAUAAAAACUUUAAACACAAGUUUGAAGUUUGAAAGACGGAGUUGCAGCAGUUAGAGACGAUCUGGCGGGGUAUUAGCUUGGUGGUGAGGUAAAGGCGCAUCAAGGCGAUGAUACAUAGCCGACCUGAGAGGGGGACCGGCGACAAGGGGACUGAGAUACGGGCCAGUGUGGUACGGGAGGCAGCAGUGGGGAAUAUUACACAAUGGGAGGCAGCAUGAUGCAGCGACGCCGCGUGCGGGAUGACGGCCUUCGGUUUAUAAACCGCUUUCGACUGAGACGAAGCGUGAGUGACGGUAAUGGGUAAAGAAGCUCCGGCUCACUACGUG
rnacentral:rRNA from 1 species